rnacentral:rRNA from 1 species
UACGUAGGGGGCAAGCGUUGUCCGGAUUUAUUGGGCGUAAAGCGCACGCAGGCGGUCUCUUAAGUUUCGAGUGACAGGUCAGGGCUUAACCCUGGCAGGCCUUGGAAAACUGGGGGACUUGAGGGCUUCAGAGGGACGCGGAAUUCCAGGUGGAGCGGUGAAAUGCGUAGAGAUCUGGAAGAACACCGAAGGCGAAGGCAGCGUUCGAGGAAGCAACUGACGCUGAGGCACGAAGGCCAGGGGAGCAAACGGG